CCUACGGGAGGCAGCAGUGGGGGAUAUUGCACAAUGGGGGGAACCCUGAUGCAGCGACGCCGCGUGGGUGAAGAAGCGCCUCGGCGCGUAAAGCCCUGUCAGCAGGGAAGAAAAUGACGGUACCUGAAGAAGAAGCCCCGGCUAACUAUGUGCCAGCAGCCGCGGUAAUACGUAGGGGGCAAGCGUUAUCCGGAUUUACUGGGUGUAAAGGGGGCGCAGACGGCGAUGCAAGCCAGGAGUGAAAGCCCGGGGGCCAACCCCGGGACUGCUCUUGGAACUGCGUGGCUGGAGUGCAGGAGGGGCAGGCGGAAUUCGUGGUGUAGCGGUGAAAUGCGUAGAUAGCAGGAGGAACACCGGUGGCGAAGGCGGCCUGCUGGACUGCAACUGACGUUGAGGCCCGAAAGCGUGGGGAGCAAACAGGAUUAGAUACCCGAGUAGUC
rnacentral:rRNA from 1 species